AUGGCUGCUCAGAGGCCGCAGAGGGGCGGGGGGGGCCGAGCCCCGGCCAACAAGUUCUGCCGCUGGAGCCUCCACCCAGAGCCUCGCCCCGCUCCCCGCCUCUGCCUUCGGAGCCGCACAAGCCCCGCCCCUCUGCUCCAGGGCAGAGGCCACGCCCCCUCCCCCGCCGCAUUCCAGGACUGCCCCUACCCAGGCCUUCGAAUUUUGCUUUCCAGCUACUAGUAUCCUGUCGUCUGUGUCCAGGCACUUAAUUAGUCCUGCCAAUAGGGCACAUCUCCAUUUUGCAGACCACAUACCCGAGGCGGGAAGACGUAGACGAGCACAGCCUGGAGGCUCAAAUUUGUGCUCUGACGCUGCCCUUCCCACCUGAAGUGUCGAGGGCCGGGCAGCCCCUCCCUCCACCAACAGCCCUCUAGGUGUGCUGAAGCGGGGGGGGGGGGGCCCACGGCAGCCGCAGGUGCAAGGCACACACCCCACUUGCUGAAGUCCCCCGCAAUAACCACAGAAGCAGGAUAGGGGUCUGGCUUUCUCUUUAGUUCUCAUCACACUAGGGCUCUCAGUCACAGAGAAGGUGGGGCAGGGGGAGGGGCUGGUU
rnacentral:lncRNA from 1 species